rnacentral:rRNA from 1 species
AGAAGCUUGCUUCUCUUGAGAGCGGCGGACGGGUGAGUAAUGCCUAGGAAUCUGCCUAGUGGUGGGGGAUAACGUUCGGAAACGGACGCUAAUACCGCAUACGUCCUACGGGAGAAAGCGGGGGACCUUCGGGCCUCGCGCCAUUAGAUGAGCCUAGGUCGGAUUAGCUAGUUGGUGAGGUAAAGGCUCACCAAGGCGACGAUCCGUAACUGGUCUGAGAGGAUGAUCAGUCACACUGGAACUGAGACACGGUCCAGACUCCUACGGGAGGCAGCAGUGGGGAAUAUUGGACAAUGGGCGAAAGCCUGAUCCAGCCAUGCCGCGUGUGUGAAGAAGGUCUUCGGAUUGUAAAGCACUUUAAGUUGGGAGGAAGGGUAGUAACUUAAUACGUUGCUACUUUGACGUUACCGACAGAAUAAGCACCGGCUAACUUCGUGCCAGCAGCCGCGGUAAUACGAAGGGUGCAAGCGUUAAUCGGAAUUACUGGGCGUAAAGCGCGCGUAGGUGGUUCAGUAAGUUGGAUGUGAAAUCCCCGGGCUCAACCUGGGAACUGCAUCCAAACUGCUGAGCUAGAGUACGGUAGAGGGUGGUGGAAUUUCCUGUGUAGCGGUGAAAUGCGUAGAUAUAGGAAGGACACCAGUGGCGAAGCGACCACCUGGACUGAUACUGACAACUGAGGUGCGAAAGCGU